AAAGUGUUGCGUGUGUGGUCUCCAUUAGCUGCUCCGCUCCGACAGCCAACCAGGAGCUCUGGGGUCGUAAAAGCCCACAGCUUGGCAGUAAUAUGGGGGGGCAUUGUGUUAGCCACCUGUAAAAUCAAUGUGCCGGGCCGGACUGCAGCCACAGCCGACGUUUGACUGCUCUCUCUCGCCCUCUUGAGAUUGACAGAAUGGGGAAUCGGUCAUUCGGUUCAUAUAAUGUCCCUUAAGCAGUCACAGCUUCACUGCAUGUAGCAUCAGAGCCCUUCUGUCAAUAGAAGUUCCUGUGCAUCAAUAAGCAGCAUGAACCAUAACGAGUGUGCAUUGGCGUCAUCAGAGCGUUGUGUGUGUGUGUGGAGUUGAAGUGAAUAUGACCACACAAAGCCUGCUUCUGCUGGACCCUUGGCUGAACAAAGAGGUCUGAUGAGGAGGGUUAGGAUCUGAGGCUAAGCUGUAAUUGAAUGCCAACAGGAGUGGUGUUUUUCCUCAGACCUCUGAAGGAGGACCUGACCUUGCGCCGCUGACAGACAGGCAACGCAAAGACCCAGCUGGAUAAUUAGAUUAAAAAACACGGAUCCCAAGGGAUGGAGAUGUGACAAGCACG
ensembl:lncRNA